CAAUAGCGUAUAUUAAAGUUGUUGCGGUUAAAAAGCUCGUAGUUGGAUUUCUGCUAAGCUCGACCGGUCCGCCCACUGGGUGUGUAUCUGGCUCGGUCUUGGCAUCUUUGCGGAGGGCGCUCUGCACUUGACUGGGCAGAGUGACUUUCGUGACAUUUACUUUGAGGAAAUUAGAGUGUUCCAAGCAGGCAAUCGCCCUGAAUAUGUUAGCAUGGAAUAAUGACAUAGGACUCCGGUUCUAUUUUGUUGGUUUCUAGUACUGGAGUAAUGACCAAUAGGGACAGUUGGGGGCAUUCGUAUUUAACUGUCAGAGGUGAAAUUCUUGGAUUUGUUAAAGACGAACUACUGCGAAAGCAUUUGCCAAGGAUGUUUNCAUUGA
rnacentral:rRNA from 1 species